rnacentral:rRNA from 1 species
AACGUAGGAGACAAACGUUAUCCGGAGUUACUGGGCGUAAAGGGCGUGUAGGUGGUUUCGUAAGUCUGGCGUGAAAUUUCUCGGCUUAACCGAGGCAGGUCGUCGGAUACUGCGGAACUUGAGGACGGUAGAGGCGUGUGGAAUUCCGGGUGUAGUGGUGAAAUGCGCAGAUAUCAGGAGGAACACCAAUGGCGAAGGCAGCACUCUGGGACGGUACUGACGCUGAGACGCGAAAGCGUGGGGAGCAAACAGG